rnacentral:rRNA from 1 species
CCGGCACGGGUGAGUAACACGUAUCCAACCUGCCGUCUACUCUUGGCCAGCCUUCUGAAAGGAAGAUUAAUCCAGGAUGGCAUCAUGAGUUCACAUGUCCGCAUGAUUAAAGGUAUUCCGGUAGACGAUGGGGAUGCGUUCCAUUAGAUAGUAGGCGGGGUAACGGCCCACCAAACCGACGAUGGAUAGGGGUUCUGAGAGGAAGGUCCCCCACAUUGGUACUGAGACACGGACCAA